ACUGCAGGUAGGAGAGAGACUGGCCCUCAGACUACAGGUAGGAGAGAGACUGGCCCUCAGACUACAGGUAGGAGAGAGACUGGCCCUCAGACUACAGGUAGGAGAGAGACUGGCCCUCAGCGGACUACAGGUAGGAGAGAGACUGGCCCUCAGCGGACUACAGGUAGGAGAGAGAGACUGGCCCUCAGACUACAGGUAGGAGAGAGACACUGGCCCUCAGCGGACUACAGGUAGGAGAGAGAGACUGGCCCUCAGCGGACUACAGGUAGGAGAGAGACUGGCCCUCAGACUACAGGUAGGAGAGAGACUGGCCCUCAGACUACAGGUAGGAGAGAGACUGGCCCUCAGCAGACUACAGGUAGGAGAGAGACUGGCCCUCAGACUACAGGUAGUUGAGAGAAUGGCCCUCAGACUACAGGUAGGAGAGAGGGAGGCGGAACGGAGACAGACGGCGAAAAAGAAAGCACCACAAUGACAGUGUGGAU